AAAUGCAUGCAUUAGGGAGGUAUCCUCUUCUUCUCUUGGGGAAGAGGAAUGUGUCAGGGUCCUUCACAACUGACGUGAUCACAGCUAAUUCCUUUUUAUCCCCAGAGGAGGUGUCCAUUGAAACAAUAAAGAACAUUUUUACAAGUCUUCUAAAAGUGAAAUGUUCUGCCCUGGACAGUGGAGUUGAGAGCAACCACAGCAUGUUGUCCAGCGGGGAAGAUCGUGGUGCCAGCGAUGGAGUAGAUGCCACAGUCUUUCAUAAAGGGGAUGAUCCCAGUGGCAGCACUGGUGGAGAAGAUGUUGUUACUUUAAUCCUUACUCCAGUGGAUCUCUCAUGCGAACCUUCUCACACCUUCCAACCACCAAAAAAAAGAAGAUCCUGGAGAAAUCUAAAGCUAUCACACCUAUCCCACCGACAGAUGUCCCUUUUCCAUACUUGUAAAAUGUCAUUGCUU